CAUGUGACUGAUUCCGGAAUCAACCUCUACAUGGCCAACCGUUAGCUCCACAAAAUCUCUGCUCGUCCUUAUCUCAGGUUCAGCUGACGUUGAUGCCAUUAUCAUUUUUGUUGCUAAUUGUCUGUCAUUAAUAUGAAUACGAUGAAUGUGAAGGCUUUAUUUGGUUGUAAAAAAAACAACAAUAUACAGUGCUGCAGAUUACUUACGCACACACAACCAAACAUUAGCACAACAUUAGCACUCAGGCAGAGUGCGCAAAUUGAUUUUAGCAACCUUGAUACAACCUUGGAUAUGGCCGAUUAUUACCGCCCCAAAAGGUCCAGCGCUCCACUCUAUCCACUGAACCUGUCAUCGCUUCCAAAAAGCCUUUCAAGGCGGAGCUUGUAUGUGGAAAGCGUCACUCAUGGUGCACUUGUGGACACCGAGAGAAACGGCCUUUCUGUGAUGGAACCCACAAGGCUAAAGCCCAGGGCCUGAUGCCUCAGCGCUUCGUCCCUGAGAAGGACUCCAAAGCUUAGCUGUGUGGCUGCAAGUACACCGCUAACCCACCAUACUGCGACAGCACUCACAAGCAGGAAUUCAUCCAGUCUGCCCUGUUCAAGGGUAACACAAACUUCUGAAUGAAUAGGAGCUGCAUGUGUUUUUGUCCAAUUUACUGUGGUGUGAGUUCUGGUCCUGGAGAUGGGGGACCCUAAUCACUGGUUCAGAAGGGUGAUUGACAGCGAACAGAUGACGUAUGCAUAUCUGACGUGCUUCGAUCUGAUGUGAUUGGUCAAACGACCUAUUAGUGGAAAAAAUAUCAGAAUUAAGCUACCUGUCUAAAUGCAGCCUUAGGGGCCUCAUUAGAAUAUAAUGGGAAACUCUGGGCUUAUAGCACUAGCUUUGAACAAAUCUCCCAUUGUCAUCCAUACAAGAUUUGCAUGAGGAGAGCUCUGUGAACAACUCAAUUAAGGAUUCAUCACAUGAUAAGCAAUUUGCAAGGUGAUACUUGUUAUGAGGCGAUUCCACGAUAACAGAAUGAUGCUGAGAUUCAGAUAUUUCACUUUAAAAUGUAAAAACCAAAGAUUAAAGUUAUUCAGACCAUUCAACUUUAUGCACAAGGACUAGUUUUAACAAUUUCCAGAAAACACAUUUACUUGUGUGCAGAUGCAAAGUUUGGUAACAGAAUAACAGUGUCUUAAUCUUUGCAAUCAUUGUUUUGUUUUUUUUGGCAUACAUUUUAAAGUGAAAAAUCUGAGUCACAGCAUUGUUCUGUUACCGUGGAAUUGCCCUGUGUGGAAUGCACUGGUGCUUCUGUAAAUGUUUGAAAUUGUGAUGAAACAGAUAUUUUAAUGCUCCGCUAAUGAUACGCACAAGUAUUGUGAUGGACUGUUUCUCAAAAUCAAGUAUUGUAAUAGAACACUAAAUCAUAAGCUUGAUGUAAGAUGAAUUAAGAUGUAUUUUUAUAGAUCUAAAAACAGUAUUAUUUCCUCCAUGGUGUAUUCUGUCUGUGUUGAAAUUAA